rnacentral:lncRNA from 1 species
CUUCUUCCUUCUUCAUAUCACUCCGCUAUCCGUCUCAUGACAUUUGUUCACUGAUGAGCAUGCGGUGCCAUCAACAGUGCCAACUUAGAUAGAACUUGAAGUAAGUCCACUUUUGCACGUGCUGCCACUGUUUAAAACCCGGAGUGUUGUCAUUUCAUGUGCGUUGAUGAGAGUGAGAGUGCGUUUUGAAUCUCUUCUGCUUUUAUCACUGGGAGACAUACUCUCUUUUCUUAGACACGUACAGGUAAAGAAGAUGAGCAGCAAGUAAAAAAUCCCGAGGCAAGUCAGCAUGAAAAGCUCAGUCUUGUAUUUUUUCAGUUUUUCAUCUUCUAUUCUAGGGCAACCUGUUACUUUUAAUGUGAUGAUGCCACUCAGGUUGUGGUCUCC